rnacentral:rRNA from 1 species
AGUGGCGAACGGGUGAGUAAAACAUCGGAACGUGCCCAAUCGUGGGGGAUAACGCAGCGAAAGCUGUGCUAAUACCGCAUACGAUCUACGGAUGAAAGCAGGGGACCGCAAGGCCUUGCGCGAAUGGAGCGGCCGAUGGCAGAUUAGGUAGUUGGUGAGGUAAAGGCUCACCAAGCCCUCGAUCUGUAGCUGGUCUGAGAGGACGACCAGCCACACUGGGACUGAGACACGGCCCAGACUCCUACGGGAGGCAGCAGUGGGGAAUUUUGGACAAUGGGCGCAAGCCUGAUCCAGCCAUGCCGCGUGCAGGAUGAAGGCCUUCGGGUUGUAAACUGCUUUUGUACGGAACGAAAAGGUUCUUUUUAAUAAAGAGAGCUCAUGACGGUACCGUAAGAAUAAGCACCGGCUAACUACGUGCCAGCAGCCGCGGUAAUACGUAGGGUGCAAGCGUUAAUCGGAAUUACUGGGCGUAAAGCGUGCGCAGGCGGUGAUGUAAGACAGUUGUGAAAUCCCCGGGCUCAACCUGGGAACUGCAUCUGU